rnacentral:rRNA from 1 species
AAACUUGAGCUAAUACCGGAUACGUCCGAGAGGAGAAAGAUUUAUCGCCGAAGGAUCGGCCCGCGUCUGAUUAGCUAGUUGGUGAGGUAACGGCUCACCAAGGCGACGAUCAGUAGCUGGUCUGAGAGGAUGAUCAGCCACAUUGGGACUGAGACACGGCCCAAACUCCUACGGGAGGCAGCAGUGGGGAAUAUUGGACAAUGGGCGCAAGCCUGAUCCAGCCAUGCCGCGUGAGUGAUGAAGGCCUUAGGGUUGUAAAGCUCUUUUACCUGGGAAGAUAAUGACGGUACCAGGAGAAUAAGCCCCGGCUAACUUC